rnacentral:rRNA from 1 species
GGGCGUAGCAAUACGUCAGUGGCGAACGGGUGAGUAAUGAAUCGCUAAUGUACCCCGGACUCCGGGAUAGCUGCCCGAAAGGGCAGGUAAUACCGGAUGACAUACUCGAUAGGCAUCUAUUGAGUCUCAAAGGUCCGCCGGUCUGGGCGCAGGCGAUUUCGUAUCAGCUAGUUGGUGCGGGUAACGGCCCACCAAGGCGACGACGCGUAGCCGGACUGAGAGGUUGGCCGGCCACAUCGGGACUGAGACACUGCCCGGACUCCUACGGGGGGCUGCAGUAACGAAUCUUCCCCAAUGCACGAAAGUGUGAGGGAGCGACGCCGCGUGUGGGACGAAGUCCUUCGGGAUGUAAACCACUGUCAGGGGGUACCAAGUUCUGAGGACCCCCAGAGGAAGAGGCGGCUAACUCUGUGCCAGCAGCCGCGGUAAGACAGAGGCCUCAAGCGUUAGGCGGAAUCACUGGGCUUAAAGCGUGUGUAGGCGGAUCGUUAAGUGUCUUGUGAAAUCCCACGGCUCAACCGUGGAACUGCUGGGCAUACUGGCGAUCUUGGGCCAUUCAGGGGCGACUGGAACAAGCGGUGGAGCGGUGAAAUGCGUAGAUAUCGCUUGGAACGCCGAAGGUGAAAACAGGUCGCUGGGGAUGUGCCGACGCUGAGACACGAAAGCCAGGGGAGCAAACGGGAUUAGAUACCCCGGUAGUCCUGGCCCUAAACGAUGUCCACUAGAUUAUGGCGCCUUUGACGGCGUCAUGGUCGAAGCAAAAGUGUUAAGUGGACCGCCUGGGAAGUACGGUCGCAAGGCU